GUGGAAGAGAGAGGCGACUUGGAGAUGUAUCUGUGCCAACAAUUAGCAACACAGAUAGACCUGAGGAUCAAAAGUCAGAAAGUGUGCCAGAAUUCUGUAUUGAUGCAGGUUCCUCGGGAAAUAUGGCCAUUGCCAGGUUCAUUAAUCAUAGUUGUGAGCCUAAUCUGUUUGUUCAGUGUGUUUUGAGCUCACACCAUGAUCUCAAACUUGCUCGGGUAAUGCUAUUUGCAGCGGA
rnacentral:misc_RNA from 1 species